UCCCGCACUACCGCACUUUCCCCUCCACUACUGCACAUCCCGCCGCGGCCAACCUCCUUUCUCCCGCCGCCGGAAAGCCUGCGGCUCCUUUUUCCCCGCGUCGGAGUGCCCCUGGCCUUCUUUCCUCCCUGCGCCGGCCAUGGCCUCUUUCCUCCCAGGCCCGCUUCCUGACCCUGCGCCACCUCCUCAUUCAGGCAAGCCACUGCCCCUCCCCGGCCGCCUUCCACCUCACUGCCCCAUCCUGAGCUCCUUCCACCUUGCCGACCCCCGGCAACACACUGCCCCGCCGCGGCGAGUCAUCUCCCUCACCCAGGCGCCCCGAGCAACCCCGCCCGGGGCCGUGACGGCCCAAUCUGGUGCCGCUGUGGCCGCGCACGGGAGGUUUAAUGGCGGCACAUCGCCCAUGGUGAACCGGCGCCGGCGUUGGCGGCGUCGUACACAUCGGCCACCACCACGUCAAGCCACCGUGGAGGUUGGGGGAAACCGCCGUUUGUCGGGUGUCGCCGGUUCUACCGCCGCCAGUCCUCACCAGAGGUGCGUCGGGCUCCCCUCCGCCCAAAGAUCCGCCGAACACGACAAAAAGGACCUUCCCCAGCCGCCUAUCUCCUCCUCCUCACCGCGCCGCCGCACCCAAGGUCCUGGUUCACUGGGGCGAUGGAAAGACAGCCACAGCUUCCCGCUCCAGAUCCAAGCACAGGGGGGAAAGGGUGCGAUGCCCACCUGUCCUCCUUGCGGUGAGGACGGAUCUCCUCCACCGCGUCCCUCCCCUCGUCAUCACCGGAGAUCCAGCGCUGCCUCGUCUCUCCUUCCACCAGUGAGGGUUGCGGCGAUGCACUCCUCCCUCUCCCAAAAAAUGGACGACGAUAGGGAACAGCAUGCCCGUGGCAGUGCACCGCGACUGUCGCGUGUAGUGCAGUAGGCGUGUGCCCUCUAUAGUAUUUGCAGCUUGCCGACAGUGCACCUUGCAGUACGGGCGCUGGCGAAUUCUUCUUCGUCGAGGUUUUGCAGCUCGCCAGCGAGUGGCUCGCGAUUUUGGCUGCGAACCCAUGGGCGCACAGAUGCAGUGUUGUGGGGUUGGACAUGCAGUGCGCCGGCGCUGGCUUGCAUAUCAUGGUCAAAAAUGUGGAUUUAUUUUUUAAGUCUCUCAUCAUUGUAAUUUGUGUGUGUUUGUACUGUGGAUUAAAAAGAGAAUCAUUGCAGUUCGUUCACCCUAUCUCAUAGUCCAGAGAUGUACAGAUCGCAGCUCUCUCAAAAAUAUGCAUUGAAGAAAACAACAAAAACUUUU